rnacentral:rRNA from 1 species
AACGAACGCUGGCGGCAGGCUUAACACAUGCAAGUCGAACGCAUCCUUCGGGGUGAGUGGCAGACGGGUGAGUAACGCGUGGGAACGUGCCCUUCAGUUCGGGAUAACCCAGGGAAACUUGGGCUAAUACCGGAUACGUGCGAGAGCAGAAAGAUUUAUCGCUGAAGGAUCGGCCCGCGUCUGAUUAGCUAGUUGGUGGGGUAAUGGCCCACCAAGGCGACGAUCAGUAGCUGGUCUGAGAGGAUGAUCAGCCACACUGGGACUGAGACACGGCCCAGACUCCUACGGGAGGCAGCAGUGGGGAAUAUUGGACAAUGGGCGCAAGCCUGAUCCAGCCAUGCCGCGUGAGUGAUGAAGGCCUUAGGGCUGUAAAGCUCUUUCAGUGGGGACGAUAAUGACGGUACCCGCAGAAGAAGCCCCGGCUAACUUCGUGCCAGCAGCCGCAGUAA